rnacentral:rRNA from 1 species
AUCGAACGCUGGCGGCAGGCCUAACACAUGCAAGUCGAACGAGUGGCGCACGGGUGAGAUAUGUCUGGGACACUGCCUGAUGUUGGGGGUUAACUACUGGAAACGGUAGUUAUUACCGCAUACCAUCGGAUGUUCCGAGAUGGGAGUGGCUAGUAGGUGGGGUAGAGGCUCACUUGGGCGACGAUCCCUAGCUGGUGUGAGAGGAUGACCAGCCACACUGGAACUGAGGCACUGUCCAACCGCCUACGCGAUGCAGCGGUGGGGAAUAUUGCAAAAUGGGCGCAAGCGUGAAGCAGCCAUGCCGCGUGUAUGAGGAGGGCCUGCGGGUUGUCAGGUAGUUUCAGCGGGGAGCCGGUACCCGCAGAAGAAGCACCGGCUAACUCCGUGCCAGCAGCCGCGGUAAUUC